UGGCCAAGGAUGAGAACUGAAAUCUGAUUGGAAGCUUCCACACUGAUGGGUUAAAGGAUUUACCUGAGGCCA